rnacentral:rRNA from 1 species
UGCUUCCUAGAAAGUCAGCGGCGGACGGGUGAGUAACACGUGGGCAACCUGCCCCUAAGAUCGGGAUAACUUCGGGAAACCGGAGCUAAUACCGGAUAUGAUUAUGUCUCACAUGAGACAUAAUGGAAAGACGGUUUCGGCUGUCACUUAGGGAUGGGCCCGCGGCGCAUUAGCUAGUUGGUGAGGUAACGGCUCACCAAGGCGACGAUGCGUAGCCGACCUGAGAGGGUGAUCGGCCACACUGGGACUGAGACACGGCCCAGACUCCUACGGGAGGCAGCAGUAGGGAAUCUUCCGCAAUGGACGAAAGUCUGACGGAGCAACGCCGCGUGAGUGAAGAAGGUUUUCGGAUCGUAAAACUCUGUUGUUAGGGAAGAACAAGUACCAUAGUAACUGAUGGUACCUUGACGGUACCUAACCAGAAAGCCACGGCUAACUACGUGCCAGCAGCCGCGGUAAUACGUAGGUGGCAAGCGUUGUCCGGAUUUAUUGGGCGUAAAGCGCGCGCAGGCGGUCUUUUAAGUCUGAUGUGAAAGCCCACGGCUCAACCGUGGAGGGUCAUUGGAAACUGGGAGACUUGAGUGCAGAAGAGGAGAGUGGAAUUCCACGUGUAGCGGUGAAAUGCGUAGAGAUGUGGAGGAACACCAGUGGCGAAGGCGACUCUCUGGUCUGUAACUGACGCUGAGGCGCGAAAGCGUGGGGAGCGAACAGGAUUAGAUACCCUGGUAGUCCACGCCGUAAACGAUGAGUGCUAAGUGUUAAAGGGUUUCCGCCCUUUAGUGCUGCAGCUAAGCAUUA